UACGAAGGGGGCUAGCGUUGCUCGGAAUCACUGGGCGUAAAGCGCACGUAGGCGGACUCUUAAGUCAGGGGUGAAAUCCUGGAGCUCAACUCCAGAACUGCCUUUGAUACUGGGAGUCUUGAGUUCGGGAGAGGUGAGUGGAACUGCGAGUGUAGAGGUGAAAUUCGUAGAUAUUCGCAAGAACACCAGUGGCGAAGGCGGCUCA
rnacentral:rRNA from 1 species